AUUGAACGCUGGCGGCAUGCCUUACACAUGCAAGUCGAACGGUAACAGGUCUUCGGAUGCUGACGAGUGGCGAACGGGUGAGUAAUACAUCGGAACGUGCCCGAUCGUGGGGGAUAACGAAGCGAAAGCUUUGCUAAUACCGCAUACGAUCUACGGAUGAAAGCAGGGGACCGCAAGGCCUUGCGCGAACGGAGCGGCCGAUGGCAGAUUAGGUAGUUGGUGGGAUAAAAAGCUUACCAAGCCGACGAUCUGUAGCUGGUCUGAGAGGACGACCAGCCACACUGGGACUGAGACACGGCCCAGACUCCUACGGGAGGCAGCAGUGGGGAAUUUUGGACAAUGGGCGAAAGCCUGAUCCAGCCAUGCCGCGUGCAGGAUGAAGGCC
rnacentral:rRNA from 1 species